UAAGGAAUAUUGGUCAAUGGAGGCAACUCUGAACCAGCCAUGCCGCGUGCAGGAAGACAGCCCUCUGGGUCGUAAACUGCUUUUAUCUGGGAAUAAACCUACUUACGUGUAAGUAGCUGAAUGUACCAGAAGAAUAAGGAUCGGCUAACUCCGUGCCAGCAGCCGCGGUAAUACGGAGGAUCCAAGCGUUAUCCGGAUCUAUUGGGUUUAAAGGGUGCGUAGGCGGCCUGUUAAGUCAGGGGUGAAAGACGGUAGCUCAACUAUCGCAGUGCCCUUGAUACUGACAGGCUUGAAUGAACUAGAGGUAGGCGGAAUGUGACAAGUAGCGGUGAAAUGCAUAGAUAUGUCACAGAACACCGAUUGCGAAGGCAGCUUACUAUGGUUUUAUUGACGCUGAGGCACGAAAGCGUGGGGAUCAAACAGG
rnacentral:rRNA from 1 species